rnacentral:misc_RNA from 1 species
GAUGAAGAACGCAGCGAAAUGCGAUAAGUAAUGUGAAUUGCAGAAUUCAGCGAAUCAUCGAAUCUUUGAACGCACCUUGCACCCUUUGGCAUUCCGAAGGGUAUGCUCGUUUGAGUGUCAUUGUACUCUCACACUUCCAAUCUUUGGAUUGGGAGCAGUGGACUUGGGUGUUGCUGCUUACUGUGGCUCACCUCAAAUCGAUUCGUGCACCUCUUGGUUGGACAUAGUACGGCGUGAUAAGUGUCUUCGCCGGCACCUCAGUAGAGGGUGGCUGAUCAGGAGCUCUGUGCUUCAAACCGUCCUCGGACAACAACUGACAACUUGACCUCAAAUCGAGUAGGACUACCCGCUGAACUUAAGCAUAUCAAUAAGCGGAGGA